UGCGUAGGUGGCGCCGUAAGUCGGGUGUGAAAUUUCGGAGCUUAACUCCGAAACUGCAUUCGAUACUGCGGUGCUUGAGGACUGGAGAGGAGACUGGAAUUCAUGGUGUAGCAGUGAAAUGCGUAGAGAUCAUGAGGAAGACCAGUGGCGAAGGCGGGUCUCUGGACAGUUCCUGACACUGAGGCACAAGGGCCAGGGGGAAGGCAAAACGG
rnacentral:rRNA from 1 species